rnacentral:sRNA from 1 species
AUCUGCUGAGGGCAAAUAAAAUGAAUAUGGGUGUCCAAUCCUCCUGCCGUGAGGAUCAGCCCUUCUCCUGCCAAAGCUUCCGUGUAAGCGCCGAUUACCAUUCCUGGAGUCACGCCAUCCAUAAUAUCUGGAUUUCCCGCCUUGCCGAUCCCUGCAAUUUUUCCAUUUCGAAUUCCCACAUCCGCCUUGUAAAUUCCAGUAUAAUCCAGGAUCACACAAUUAGUAAUCACCAAAUCCAGCAUCUGGUCCUCAUGGGCUUCCGUGGCAGACUGACCCAUGCCGUCCCG